GUCUUUUAGAUUAUAAUUUAAAGUCUAACCUGCCCACUGAAAUUUUUGAAGGGCCGCGGUAUUUUGACUGUGCAAAGGUAGCAUAAUCAUUAGUCUUUUAAUUGAAGGCUUGUAUGAAUGGUUGGAUGAAACAUUAACUGUCUCAAAUUAAUAUUUAGAAAUUAAUUUUUAAGUUAAAAAGCUUAAAUAAAGUAAUAGGACGAGAAGACCCUAUAGAUCUUGAUAAUUAAUAAUUUAAUUAUAUUUUAGUUAAAUAUACAUUUUUAUUUUAAAAAUUAUUGUAUUGGGGUGAUAAAUAAAUUUAGUAAACUUUAUAAUAAAAAAACAUUAAUUUAUGAAUAUUUGAUCCAUUAAUAAUGAUUAAAAGAUUAAGUUACCUUAGGGAUAACAGCGUAAUUUUUUUAGAGAGUUCAGAUCGAUAAAAGAGUUUGCGACCUCGAUGUUGAAUUAAAGAUUAGUUUAGGUGUAGAAGUUUAAAUUUUUGGUCUGUUCGACCAUUAAAUC
rnacentral:rRNA from 1 species